UACUUACUCCCUCCGUUCCAAAUUAAAUUACUUGUAGGCAGGUAUGGAUGUAUCUAGAUGUAUUUUAGUUCUAGAUACAUCUAUUUUUGCUCGACGAUUAAUUUGAAACGGAGGGAGUAGCUC
rfam:Triticum aestivum genome assembly, contig: Triticum_aestivum_CS42_TGACv1_scaffold_665082_T_6BL-0.232641_6BS-0.116640